rnacentral:rRNA from 1 species
UACGGGGGGAGCAAGCGUUGUUCGGAUUUACUGGGCGUAAAGGGCGCGUAGGCGGCCUUCUAAGUCCGACGUGAAAUCCCCAGGCUUAACCUGGGAACUGCGUCGGAUACUGGAUGGCUUGAAUCCGGGAGAGGGAUGCGGAAUUCCAGGUGUAGCGGUGAAAUGCGUAGAUAUCUGGAGGAACACCGGUGGCGAAGGCGGCAUCCUGGACCGGCACUGACGCUGAUGAGCGAAAGCCAGGGGAGCAAACGGG